CUCCUCCGGACCAUCGGAAGCCUACGCUCCAGGACUUCCGGGAGGUGAUGGCUCCUCCAACGCCGACUGGUUGUUGCGACGUGUGACCCGCCCACACGUCGUCACGCUCUUCCUUCCGCUGCUGCGCGCUGUCACUACAGAGCCCCAGCAUGGCGGAGCCGGAGGUGUUGGGCUUCGAACACAUGGGCCUCGACCCCCGGCUCCUGCAGGCCGUCACCGACCUGGGCUGGUCGCGGCCGACGCUGAUCCAGGAAAAGGCCAUCCCGCUGGCCCUGGAGGGGAAGGACCUCCUGGCUCGGGCCCGCACUGGCUCGGGGAAGACGGCCGCUUAUGCCAUUCCGAUGCUGCAGCUGCUGCUCCACAGGAAGGCGACAGGCCCCGUGGUAGAGCAGGCUGUGAGAGGCCUUGUCCUCGUGCCCACCAAGGAACUGGCACGGCAGGCCCAGUCCAUGAUUCAGCAGCUGGCAGCCUACUGUGCCCGAGACAUCCGGGUGGCCAAUGUAUCAGCUGCUGAUGACUCGGCCUCUCAGAGAGCUGUGCUGAUGGAGAAGCCCGAUGUAGUGGUGGGGACCCCCUCUCGCAUAUUAAGCCACUUGCAGCAAGACAGCUUGAAGCUGCGAGACUCCCUGGAGCUGCUGGUGAUGGAUGAGGCUGAUCUUCUCUUUUCCUUUGGCUUUGAGGAAGAGCUCAAGAGUCUUCUCUGUCACUUGCCCCGGAUUUAUCAGGCUUUUCUGAUGUCGGCUACUUUCAAUGAGGAUGUACAAACACUCAAGGAGCUGGUACUGCAUAACCCGGUCACCCUCAAGUUGCAAGAGUCCCAGCUGCCAGGGCCAGAGCAGCUGCAGCAGUUUCAGGUGGUGUGUGCCACUGAGGAAGACAAGUUUCUGUUGCUGUGCGCGCUGCUCAAGUUGUCGCUGGUCCGGGGCAAGUCCCUGAUCUUCGUCAAUACGCUGGAGCGCAGUUACCGGCUGCGCCUAUUCCUGGAGCAGCUUGGCAUCCCCACCUGCGUGCUCAACGGAGAGCUCCCUGUGCGCUCCAGGUGCCACAUCAUCUCACAGUUCAACCAGGGCUUGUACGACUGUGUCAUAGCAACUGAUGCCGAAGUCCUGGGGGCCCCGCUCAAAGGCAAGCGUCGGGGGAAAGGACCCAAGGGGGACAGGGCCUCCGAUCCCGAGGCAGGCGUGGCCCGGGGCAUCGACUUCCACCACGUGUGUGCCGUACUCAACUUCGACCUGCCCCCCACCCCCGAGGCCUACAUCCAUCGAGCUGGCAGGACGGCACGUGCCAACAACCCAGGCACAGUCCUGACCUUCGUGCUGCCCACAGAGCAGCCCCACCUGGGCAGGAUCGAGGAGCUACUUGGUGGAGAGACCGGGGCCCCCGCCCUGCUUCCCUACCAGUUCCGCAUGGAGGAGAUUGAAGGCUUUCGCUACCGCUGCAGGGAUGCCAUGCGCUCGGUGACUAAGCAAGCCAUUCGAGAGGCGAGGCUGAAGGAGAUCAAGGAGGAACUCCUGCGCUCGGAGAAGCUCAAGACGUACUUUGAAGACAACCCCAAGGACCUGCAGCUGCUGCGGCACGACCUGCCCUUGCAUCCUGCUGUGGUGAAGCCGCACCUGGGCCACGUGCCCGACUACCUGGUUCCUCCUGCUCUUCGAGGCCUCGUCCGCCCUCAUAGGAAGCGGAAGAAGCUGUGCCCCUCUAAGAAGGCCAAGGCAGCUUACCUGCGACCUUGCCCCACAGAAGGUGAAGGCCCACAACCCACUGCGCAGCUUCCGGCACAGAGGAGAAAAGCACAGAUCAGCGGCAGCGCCCUCCUGAAGUGGUCCAGGCAACUGCGGCUGAGCAGAGCAGGGAGUGGGCCCCCGCCCCCCUGGACUGACGGGUUUUGGGGCCGGCUGGCUGUUUGUGCCUUAAGGACAAUAAAGAUUCUAGCUGUCCCAUGUGCCUCCUGCGGAGGGGGGCAGCGCAUCCCCAGAAACCCCUUCCAGGGGCCAGGCCUGGCUGCCUGCACACAGUGCCCCCUUGACCAGCAGAGGUCAGCCGUGUGGCAGUGUAGCUCGGGGGACACCCACCCCCAUCCAGGUCUCUUGCCAGCCCACAGCCACCCCUGUGGCCUUCCUGUCUGGUGUCAUGCCGACCAACCCCCGUCCCCUGACGCUCAGAAACAAGGUCCACCCACCCCCUCCAUGCCAUAGAUGGUAGAGUCAGCCUGCUGUCCCCUGAGCUCCCCGCACUGCCCUGUUCCCAUCAGCCCUUGCAUGAGUCUGAGGUGGAGGGACUUCAUGUGUUGCACAUGCGUUUUGUUCCUGCACUCCACGCCCAUGCGUCCCCCACAGGACUCCCUCCCAGACGCAGGCCGGGUCUCCCAGCUUCUCGCUGUCCCGGGCAGGUGUCCUUGAGCUUCACGGGGACAGAGGCUAAGACCCCCGGUGAGCGUUGGGCUGCCACGUUUCCUGCUCCUGUUAUGUUCUGAAGACUUUAAGUGUCCAGGCCAUGUGUGACGGGGUUGCUGGUCUGGUGAGAUCCACGCGGUGUGGCACAGCAACCAGUGACACGCACCUAGGAUUCCCGCGUCCACCAAGAGCAGCGGGUUACUGCAACUGAACGAGGUGGCAGCUUUACAGCAUCUGACAGGUCCUCUUGGAAGUCACCCUACAGCGUGGGAGGGGCCGCACUUAUACCUUUCCCCUCUUUGAGAAAUAAGGAUUCAGACACCCUGUCCCACGGCAGGGGCUGCAGUCGCUUGUCCUGCGUCAAUCACAGCCAUUUUUACCUGGAAAAGGAAGAAGUCAUUGACCAGGAAGGGCAGGUGUCCUGGCCCAGCUUCCGUCCUGUUGUGCUGGUGCCAUGCUGGGCAGACUCCCUCCUCCCAGGACAUCAUCAGAGCUCGGUGUCUGCUCACUCACGAGUCCACCCACAAGCCUACUGGGAAGCAGUGAGAGUGUGGCCACAGCUGAGCUGGAGAGCGGGCACACUGGGGGACUUCCAUCGUGCUCCAAGAGCAGCCUUUGUGACACCUGAGACAUGCUGCCCAGCUUCAAGGGAGGGGCCUUGCGCUUGGCCUCCUCCGGGAUCUCCGUA